rnacentral:rRNA from 1 species
UACGAAGGGGGCUAGCGUUGCUCGGAAUCACUGGGCGUAAAGCGCACGUAGGCGGCUUCUUAAGUCAGGGGUGAAAUCCUGGAGCUCAACUCCAGAACUGCCUUUGAUACUGAGGAGCUCGAGUCCGGAAGAGGUGAGUGGAACUGCGAGUGUAGAGGUGAAAUUCGUAGAUAUUCGCAAGAACACCAGUGGCGAAGGCGGCUCACUGGUCCGGUACUGACGCUGAGACGCGAAAGCGUGGGGAGCAAACAGG